AAAAAAAAAGGUAAAGUCAUUAAGAAUUACAACUCUUUACAAAAAAAAUAAUAAUAAAAAUAAAGAGUAGAAAGAAAAAAUGAAAAAGGUUUGAAAAUCGUUUAAUAAAAAAAUGUGUAUGUUAACUUGUCAUGUUACUUUACAUUUGUAUUUAUUUUUCAUUUUGACUAAUUCUAUGUUUUUUGUGUUUUCCCUUUUCUUGUUUGUUUCAUACAUCAUCCUAACAUAAAAGCAUCAGAUAUAUACAUU
rnacentral:lncRNA from 1 species